rnacentral:lncRNA from 1 species
UCAAGUGUAAACUAUAGCUAUCAACACAGGUUAUAUCCAACUGCUCACUAAAAGCUUAUAUUAAUUAAAAAUAAAGAAACCCAUCAACUAAACACUAACCAGAGCUUAAUAUUAUACAUGAAAAAAAGGAUUGAAUUAACAGUGGAGUACCUAAUACUAAAUUUUCAGGAAAAAUCAAAACUGACUAAUGAACAAUGAAGGUGUUAGAGACUGCAAUUAAGGGAACCCAUAUUCCGCAAUUAGACGGCUAGAAGCAGACCGCGAUGAAGGCGAAAUUUACAACAAUAGCAUUAUUUUUAACAACAACAAAAUGC